CAAAGAGAACGCUGUUGCUGAUAGAACCAUCCAGCAGAGAUGUUCCUGUUUCGAAGAGGACAACACUGCCAGCUGAGUCCUUCAACGGUGAAGGUACACAUUUUAUCUUCUGCUGUAACUAAAAUGUCAACUGAUUUGUAUAUUUGCCUUUUAAAACUUUGCACUACUACUAUUAAAAUGUGUUUUGUCAACUCAUAGAUUUAAUGGCCACAAGUACACCAAGGCAAAGAGUCACCCCAAGGCAAAAAGCCACUGAAGGCAAGUAACUUAAAAUACCUCUACCAAAACCUAGAGUGUUGUAUUAAAAUGUUUUGGUAGAUUUUUUUUUGAGAACUUAUCAUUUUAUCAUUUCAGAUCAAGCAGCAGACAUCGCUGAUGCUUUAAAGAAUAUUGCUGCAAUCACAGAUAUCUGCAAGUCACUGCUGAUCAAAGUGAACAUGAUGGAGGGGAAAAUGCACGCCAUGGAGAAGCUGCUCCAUAAUGUUGCUUCUCGGCAUUCUGAGAGCUAAACUCAAGAUGAUCUGCACCUGGAGCUUUGUAAAGAUGCGGAGGACUUUACCUUGCUUGACAAUAACUUGCAGGACAAGGCAUAUUUCCAGCAAGCUGUCCGUUUUCUAAGCCUCAUUGGAGGACGGAAGCUGGGAGAAAAUACAAGAAGGACCAUGCUGGCUGUCGCCAGCAAUGCUGUUUGGUGUGGAUACAGCCUGCAUGGGAAGAAGCAGAA